rnacentral:lncRNA from 1 species
UAUACAGGCAUGACUGAUUAAAUCCUUGUCCAUUACCAAUGAAUUCAACCCCCCAGGCCUUCUCCCCUCCCAACCCUCUCAUCACAAAGUUGGUUCUCCUGGUGACCAGCUCCUAUCCUUAAGUGUGCUCCAAAAGUCAUUUAUCUCAUUAACAUAAUAAAAGAUACUUUUAGAGUUCUUAGCACUUGGGAAAUAUUAAGGCACUCUAUACCAGAAAUGGGGACAAAGAUCAAAUACAUACAUUUCUUAUUAUGAAUCACAAUAUCACACAAACACACUGUGUCCCUAGAGAGGAGUGGAAUAUAUUCCCAAGAGAGCCCUUUUCUCUCUCUGUUCUACACAUUGCUGGAGUAUAAUCGUCUUUUGGAAGUAGCAACAAGGCUGUAAAGCUCUAAGAUAACAUGGCUGGAACUAAGCAAUCUGUCCAGCUUUGUGCGGAGCUGCAGAGAAAACUUAGGCGAUCACAGGACAACCAUACAGUGGCCAAGAACAGCAUUCCAUACUUCAAUAAUCAUGACAAGAUGGAGAGCUGCAGAGAGGAAGCCAGUUAUCACUAUGACACAAUGAACAUCCUGCCCAUAUCUCUAUCAAAUGGCUGUAAACCUGGCAAGCCUAGAAUGCAGAAGAAAAAAAAAAAUCUUUCUUCUCAACUAUAACAUUCAAUCUGUUAAAAUGACUGCUUCCCCCCCACACACACAGAUUCAACCCAUUGUCAUUAUCUUUACAGAACUGAUGAGAUGUUGCCUGCAAUACAGUCACUUUGUAGCAUGACUACAACAUACAUCGACACACUGGCUGCGAUGAAGGUCUCCAAAAGAAACCAUCCUUUUUGGGGAUCCCUGGGUGGCUCAGCGGUUUAGCGCCGCCUUCUGCCCAGGGUGUGAUCCUGGAGACCUGGGAUCGAGUCCCGCAUUGGGCUCCCUGCAUGGAACCUGCUUUUCCCUCUGCCUAUGUCUCUGCCUCUCUCUCUCUGUCUCUCAUGAACAAAUAAAUAAAUAAAAUCUUAAAAAAAAACUGUCCUUUUUUAAAAGCUACAAGAAAUCAAAAAGCAGUUCUACUACAACUAAAUUAUAUAGUCAGAACACUAUCUCCUCUUUUAGAGUUAAGGCAACUAAGAAAGGGAAAAUCUUUACUCUCGAGGAACCAAAUGGCUCCAUCUCCAAAAUAACCUCAAGGAUCCAAACUUGCCAAGAUACUUACGAGGUGAUCUCUCUUUUCUAAAAAGAUAAAAUAAAAAUAAAACAUAGAACAAAUACAUUAAAUGUGCGAUCCUGUUAAAUGUAUAUAGCCAACACACAUUCAUGGCCAUACAUAACUUUAAACCUUUUAACUUUAAAUUCCCUCAUAAAGACAGAAAGGAUUCUAAAAGUAUUCAGAAGAGAAAGCAGUGAAGCCUCAUUCAAAAUCCUAUUUCAUAAAAAAAAAAAAAAAGAAAAAGAAAGACACAGAAUCACUAAUAAGCGAUUUCCACUUUGAAGACUUGGAUCACAAGUUAUUAAGACAGAUCAACCAGCUUAGAUCCCAGUUAUCAAACAUGUUUAAAAUUAAAAAUCAGUUUCAGCAAAAGGAGAGGGCAAAUCCAUAAUGAUAAAAGAUAGGUUUAAGAAAAGGAAUUUUCAUUACUAAAGAAAUCCCUUUUUUUUCUCAUGGCUAAGGCUCAAUCUACUACUUAGCAAAAACACCUAGUGAAAUUAAAAUAACACGUUUAAAAAGAUCUUUAGGAGUUGUAUUUCACGCAAUUCUUUUAGAAACCCAAAGGAAUGGAAAAGAGCUUGCAGGGGGCAGAGGGUGUCACUAUCUACAUGUUCAUCUGGUUUUGUUGUUUGGAUUGAUUGAUCUCAAAAUAACCUUGAACAGCCGUUCAGAGCAAUACCAAGCAUCAAGCUGGUCCCCUUUACUGCAACCUCUUUGUUAAGUAGACUCUCAGCAGCAUAUUAACGUCCACACUAACAAGGAAGACUAACUGGUAAAUUAUGGAUAUAUUUAACUUUUUGCAUUGUAAAAUCAAUACACCACAGAAACAAAUACUACGCAUUCACCUAGCAUCUUGGUUACACAGUAGCUCAGAAAGGAAGUAACUCAGUGAAAAGAACAUGGGCUCUAGUAUCAGAAAGAUUAGGUCCGAACUCCAGCUCUACCACCUUCUGAUUAUGUAACUGGAAGCUACCCAUCUAAACCCUAAAUCUCAGUUUCCUUAGCUGUAAAGGGUAAAUGAGAAGAUCUACUUAAUAGGGUUGGGUAAGAAUUAAAUAAAAUUACGUAUGGAAUUAAAUAAAAUCACGUAUGGAAUGCAGAUAGUACACUGCCUGACACAUUAUAGGUCUCAAAUAUUAUUUACCUUGAAAAUAAUCAUGCCCAUCUCAAACCCCAGAAAGUAUUUCUGAUUUUCAAUUCAUUUACCUAGGAAGAGACGGAACUGAAGCAUAGGUCACUAAGGUCCCUUUCAGAAGUGAUGUGACCCACUGAAGUGCUAGGAUUCCAUGGUAAUAAUGUACAACAGACAUGAUUAUUGUACUGUGAUGGCUACACUCUCCUAUUUUGAACCACAAAUUUACAAACUGAAAGUUCUGAAACUCUUAAAGUGAAGAAAGCACUUUGUCGUAAGUUGCCAUAAAAUAAUUUUCGAGAGGAGCACCUGGCUGGCUCAGUCAGUUGAGCAUUUGACUCUUGAAUGCAGCUCAGGUCAAGAUCUCAGGGUUGUGGGCAGCCCGGGUGGCUCAGCGUGUUGUAAUACUACAGGCUAGAAAUGUGCUAAAGAGUAACUUUAAUUUUCUGGAAGCAGAAUCAUAAAAUGAAGCACCUGUACAAUUUAAAAUAUAGGAAUAGGACUUUCAUUAAAUGAGUACAUUAUCAAAAAUCUACAGUAAACAUUAUACAUAAUGGAGAAACUUUAGAAUCAUUCCCACUAAAGUAAAAAACAAAGAUGUCCUCCAUCCCUGCCUCUAUUCAACAUCAUGCAAAACCCAGUGUGGUAAGAAAAAGAAGUCAAUGGUUCAAGAAGUAGAUAGCAAAAAAACAAGACCAGUCCUGUCCACAGACAGCACGGUUGACUACAUGGAAAAUGCAAAAGUAUCUACAAAUUAUAAGAAUUCAUGAGAGUUCACUGAGGUUCCUGAAUCCAAUGUGUUCCACUGAUAACUAGAAAAUAUAAUUAACCAAAAAAAAAAAAUUCUAUGCACCAUAUCAACACAACUAUAAAUCACCUAAGAAUAAAUACACUAAGAUAUGUCAAAGCUUCUUGUGGAAAAAAAGUUGUAACAUCUCAUUCAAGGAUAUAAAAAAAAAAACUAAAUAAAUGGAAUACUGUGCCAUCAAUGUGGCUAGGAAAACUUAAUGUCAUAAACAAGUCGGGUCUUCUCCCAUUACUUAUAAAUGCAAAUCCAAAUGAAAUCCUUAAGUUUGGGGUUAUUUUUUAGUGUGUGUGUAUUAUUUAACAACCUAUUCCUAAAAUUCACAUGGAUGAAGAACAGUUAAGAAGAGCCAAGACAGUUUUAAAGAAUAACAAAUUGGGAGUCUUGCUUUCUCAUAUAUUAAGACUUAUUAUAUAACUAUAAUAAUUAAAGAGUGUGGUAUUAGUGCAAUUAAAGAUAAUGCAGUGAUUUAAAAAAAAAAGAGAGAGAGACUCCAGAAACAGACCCUUAUGUUUUGAUUAAAUCCAUGGGGAAAGGAUAGCUAAUUCAAUUAAUGAUGCUGGGGCAACCGAUUAGCCAUUUGGAAGAAAGGAAAAUAAAAUCCUGCUUUGGGCUGAAUCAUAUCCUUCUAAAAUUUGUAUGUUGAAGUCCUAGCCCUCAGUGUGGUAGUGUGUGGAGAUGGGGCCUUUGGGAGGUGAUUAGAUUUAGGUAAGUCAUAGGGUGCCCAUGACGGGGUUAUUAGUACCCUCACAAGGAGAGACACCAGGGAGCUACCCAUGUUCUCUCC